rnacentral:rRNA from 1 species
AGAUUGAACGCUGGCGGCAUGCCUUACACAUGCAAGUCGAACGGCAGCACGGGAGCAAUCCUGGUGGCGAGUGGCGAACGGGUGAGUAAUACAUCGGAACGUGCCCAAUCGUGGGGGAUAACGCAGCGAAAGCUGUGCUAAUACCGCAUAAGAUCUACGGAUGAAAGCAGGGGAUCGCAAGACCUUGCGCGAAUGGAGCGGCCGAUGGCAGAUUAGGUAGUUGGUGAGGUAAAGGCUCACCAAGCCUUCGAUCUGUAGCUGGUCUGAGAGGACGACCAGCCACACUGGGACUGAGACACGGCCCAGACUCCGUACGGGAGCAGCAGUGGGAAUUUUGGACAAGUGGACGAAAGCCUGAUCCAGCAGUGCCGCGUGCAGG